rnacentral:sRNA from 1 species
GUUUUGCUUCGAGAUGGCUGCGGGGAUGUAUUUGGAACAUUAUCUGGACAGUAUUGAAAACCUUCCCUUUGAAUUACAGAGAAACUUUCAGCUCAUGAGGGACCUAGACCAAAGAACAGAGGGUGGACAAACACAUUCGGCGGCUGGACACAGACCUGGCCCGUUUUGAGGCUGAUCUCAAGGAGAAACAGAUUGAGUCAAGUGACUAUGACAGCUCUUCCAGCAAAGGCAAAAAGAGUGAGGAGGGGGGCGGGGCUGUGAGAGGUGGGGCGAGGAUUGAAAGGGAGAAGAAGUCAGCUCUUCAUCUGGUGGGAAGUUUGGCACCGGGUUGGAAAGGGGGAGAGAAGAGGACUUAACCCAUCUUUCUGUCUCCCUGCCUCUGGCUUUCUCCCUCUUCCCUAGAAGGCCGGACUCAAAAGGAGAAGAAAGCUGCUCGUGCUCGUUCCAAAGGGAAAAACUCGGAUGAAGAAGCCCCCAAGACUGCCCAGAAGAAGUUAAAGCUCGUGCGCGCAAGUCCUGAGUAUGGGAUGCCCUCAGUGACCUUUGGCAGUGUCCACCCCUCUGAUGUGUUGGAUAUGCCUGUGGAUCCCAACGAACCCACCUAUUGCCUUUGUCACCAGGUCUCCUAUGGAGAGAUGAUUGGCUGUGACAACCCUGAUUGUUCCAUUGAGUGGUUCCAUUUUGCCUGUGUGGGGCUGACAACCAAGCCUCGGGGGAAAUGGUUUUGCCCACGCUGCUCCCAAGAACGGAAGAAGAAAUAGAUAAGGGCCUUGGAUUCCAACACAGUUUCUUCCACAUCCCCUGACUUGGGCUAGUGGGCAGAGGAAUGCCUGUGCUGGGGCCAGGGGUUCAGGGAGGAGUGGAUGGCACAGUGCUGUCAUCCCUUCUCCUCCCCUCUCCCCACUCCCGGUGCUGAGGCUGCAUCAGACCCUGGUAGGGAGG